rnacentral:rRNA from 1 species
ACCGAACCCUAUCAAACUUCGAAUACCGGAUAAUUGAUGAUCGGGAGUCAGACAGUGUGAGAUAAGUUUCAUUGUCGAAAGGGAAACAGCCCAGAUCUACGACUAAGGUCCCAAAGUUCAAGUUAAGUGGAAAAGGAUGUGCAAUUGCGCAGACAACCAGGAUGUUGGCUUAGUAGCAGCCAUUCAUUCAAAGAGUGCGUAAUAGCUCACUGGUCGAGUGAUUGUGCGCCGAAAAUGUAACGGGGCUAAACUUGACACCGAAGUCUAGGCAGAAGGAAACUUCUGGGUAGGGGAGCAACGUGUACGGGCAGAAGCAGAAGCGGAAGCGACUGUGGACUGUACAGGAGAGAGAAUGCCGGCAUGAGUAGCGAGAGCAAAGUGAGAAUCUUUGCCGUCGAAAGCCUAAGGUUUCCUGAGGAAGGCUCGUCCUCUCAGGGUAAGUCGGGACCUAAGCCGAGGACAAUAGUCGUAGGCGAUGGACAAUCGGUUAAUAUUCCGAUACCGCCGAGCAACCGGAUGCAGUGACACAGAAGGAUAGGCAGAGCGUGGCGAUGGUAGACCACGUCCAAGCAGUGAGGCUGUUGUGUAGUGAAGUACGCACAACGGAAGGCUGGGCUGUGAUGGGGAACGAUUACGAUCGGUAAGCUGCUGAAUUCACGCUGGCGAGAAAAGCUGCUACGAAGCGAAGGCGCCCGUACCGCAAACCGACACAGGUAGGCGAGGAGAGAAUCCUAAGACGAGCGGGAGAACCCUUGUUAAGGAACUCGGCAAAAUGACUCCGUAACUUAGGGAGAAGGAGUGCCCAGGAAUGGGCCGCAGAGAAUAGACCCAAGCGACUGUUUACCAAAAACACAGGUCUGUGCGAAGUAGAGAUACGACGUAUACGGGCUGACACCUGCCCAGUGCCGGAAGGUUAAGGGGAAAUGUUAGGGCAACCGAAGCAUGGAACUUAAGCCCCGGUGAACGGCGGCCGUAACUAUAACGGUCCUAAGGUAGCGAAAUUCCUUGUCGGGUAAGUUCCGACCCGCACGAAUGGUGUAACGAUUUGGGUACUGUCUCAACAAGGGACCCGGCGAAAUUGUAGUAUGUGUGAAGAUGCACAUUACCCGCGAUAGGACGGAAAGACCCCGUAGAGCUUUACUGUAGUUUAACAUUGGAUUCCGGUAACAUAUGCACAGGAUAGGUGGGAGGCGGAGAAGCAGUGAUUUCGGUUGCUGCAGAGCCGACGUUGGGAUACCACUCUUGUGUUACUGGGGUUCUAACCUGUGGCCGUG